AAGUUGCAGGGUAUAGACCCGAAACCCGGUGAUCUAGCCAUGGGCAGGUUGAAGGUUGGGUAACACUAACUGGAGGACCGAACCGACUAAUGUUGAAAAAUUAGCGGAUGACUUGUGGCUGGGGGUGAAAGGCCAAUCAAACCGGGAGAUAGCUGGUUCUCCCCGAAAGCUAUUUAGGUAGCGCCUCGUGAAUUCAUCUUCGGGGGUAGAGCACUGUUUCGGCUAGGGGGUCAUCCCGACUUACCAACCCGAUGCAAACUACGAAUACCGAAGAAUGUUAUCACGGGAGACACACGGCGGGUGCUAACGUCCGUCGUGAAGAGGGAAACAACCCAGACCGCCAGCUAAGGUCCCAAAGUCAUGGUUAAGUGGGAAACGAUGUGGGAAGGCACAGACAGCCAGGAUGUUGGCUUAGAAGCAGCCAUCAUUUAAAGAAAGCGUAAUAGCUCACUGGUCGAGUCGGCCUGCGCGGAAGAUGUAACGGGGCUAAACCAUGCACCGAAGCUGCGGCAGCGACACUAUGUGUUGUUGGGUAGGG
rnacentral:rRNA from 1 species